UUCAUUCUGGAUAGCUGAAAUGUAUAUAGGGAAUUCACUUUGGAUUGACGGUUGGAACAUGUAUUUUGCCUUUUUUUUUUUUCUUUUUCUUCUAUUUUCAAUGAAAGAUAUCACUAUUUUAAUCUUACAACCGCAAGUAAUUUUUUUCUUAAACUAUAUAUUGUCUCACUUUUUCAAAUUAUAAUUUUAUUAUUAUUUUUUUCUAUUAGCCUUCAGCGUGCUGGAGAAGUAUUUCCACAGAGAUCUGAGAGAGCUACACCGGUCUUUACCCCUCCACAAACGCAACCAUUGUCUUCAUAUCCAUAGAAUCUAUGCAGUUCUAACAUUCAUCAAGAUACAGCUGAGCCGUCUGCAGAGUCUGAGUUUCCUACCUUGAGCUUGUCAGAAAUUCAGAAUGCACGUGGCAUAAUGGAUGUUCUUACAUAAAUACUUAGCGCAAUUGAUCCAGAGAAUAAAGAGUGCCUUAGACAAGAGGUUAUUGUUGAUUUGGUGGAACAGUGCCGGACAUA